rnacentral:lncRNA from 1 species
GUGUUCUUAUCCUUUUUUAGACUCCAAAUUUGAGUAGAAUUCAUGUUGAUUUUCAGCAGAGGAAUCACAUAAAGAAAAGCAAAAGGAUUCAUUUUUAGAGUCUAACUCCCCUUGCCUGUUUGUUUCACCCAUGUGGGCAAGUUUUCUCGUAUGCACGUGGCUUGUGUGUGUGCCGCUUCUCAUGCACACGACUGCCAACUGCCCCUUUCCUAUAUAAAUUCAUGGCUGUAGUGUGCGACACUACCUUUUUCGUGUACUCAACAUGCUUUCAUGUGUGCAAGUGUAGCUUGGAUAUGAGCUACUCACCCUGAAUAUGUGCCCUUUCUCGUAUAUGCUUGAUGGGCCUCCAAGUCCACAUUAUGGCUCACUUUUUCCCCUUGGUGCGAUCUCCUUGGCGUGAGGCCUUCGUGUGCUAUUGGUUUAGACCAAGGCUUGGUCUUCUUUCGAGUUGAUCUAACAAUGGUCCUCUUUGGUCACUCUUUAAACCCAUAAAGCAUUGGGCUUUAAGUUUUCUUUGAACAAACUUUGUCCAUUCUUUAA